CAAGGAGUAGUUUAAUUAGAACGUCAACUUUGGGUGUUGAUAGUAGGGAAAAGGUUCCUUCUUCUUGA
rnacentral:tRNA from 1 species